UACAGAGGUCUCAAGCGUUGUUCGGAUUCAUUGGGCGUAAAGGGUGCGCAGGCUGCAUGGUAAGUUUGGUGUGAAAUCCUGGGGCUUAACCCCAGAAUUGCACUGAAUACUGCCGUGCUAGAGGACUGGAGAGGAGAUUGGAAUUCACGGUGUAGCAGUGAAAUGCGUAGAUAUCGUGAGGAAGACCAGUGGCGAAGGCGAAUCUCUGGACAGUUCCUGACGCUCAUGCACGAAGGCCAGGGGAGCAAACGGG
rnacentral:rRNA from 1 species